rnacentral:rRNA from 1 species
GUCCACGCAGUAAACGAUGCAGACUAGGCGUAGGUGGACUUGACCCCAUCUGUGCCGGAGCUAACGCGGUAAGUCUGCCGCCUGGGGAGUACGGCCGCAAGGCUAAAACUCAAAGGAAUUGACGGGGGCCCGCACAAGCGGCGGAGCGUGCGGUUUAAUUCGACGCAACGCGCAGAACCUUACCAGGGCUUGACAUGGACCUGCAUAACCGGGAAACCGGGAGGCCUUCGAGGGUGGUCCACAGGUGCUGCAUGGCUGUCGU